rnacentral:rRNA from 1 species
CUUUCUUUGGAGAGUUUGAUCCUGGCUCAGGACGAACGCUGGCGGCGUGCCUAAUACAUGCAAGUCGAGCGGACCGGAUUGGG